GGGCCCGCACAAGCGGUGGAGCAUGUGGUUUAAUUCGAAGCAACGCGAAGAACCUUACCAGGUCUUGACAUACUCGUGCUAUCCUUAGAGAUAAGGAGUUCCUUCGGGACACGGGAUACAGGUGGUGCAUGGUUGUCGUCAGCUCGUGUCGUGAGAUGUUGGGUUAAGUCCCGCAACGAGCGCAACCCUUAUUACUAGUUGCCAUCAUUAAGUUGGGCACUCUAGUGAGACUGCCGGUGAUAAACCGGAGGAAGGUGGGG
rnacentral:rRNA from 1 species